AUUGAACGCUAGCGGCAUGCUUUACACAUGCAAGUCGAACGGCAGCACGGGUGCUUGCACCUGGUGGCGAGUGGCGAACGGGUGAGUAAUGCAUCGGAACGUAUCCAAUAAUGGGGGAUAACGCACCGAAAGGUGUGCUAAUACCGCAUACGCCCUGAGGGGGAAAGUGGGGGACCGUAAGGCCUCACGUUAAUGGAGCGGCCGAUGCCUGAUUAGCUAGUUGGUGAGGUAAAGGCUCACCAAGGCGACGAUCAGUAGCUGGUCUGAGAGGACGCCCGGCCAAAGUGGGACUGGGACAAGGCCCAGACUCCUACGGGAGGCAGCAGUGGGGAAUUUUGGACAAUGGGCGCAAGCCUGAUCCAGCCAUGCCGCGUGAGUGAAGAAGGCCUUCGGGUUGUAAAGCUCUUUCGCAAGGAAAGAAAACUUAUCCCCUAAUACGGGAUGAGGAUGACGGUACCUUGAUAAGAAGCACCGGCUAACUACGUGCCAGCAGCCGCCGUAACAC
rnacentral:rRNA from 1 species